rnacentral:rRNA from 1 species
GACAGAGGGUGCAAACGUUGUUCGGAAUUACUGGGCGUAAAGCGUGUGUAGGCGGCCAAGCAAGUCGGAUGUGAAAUCCCCAGGCUUAACCUGGGAAGUGCGCGGAAAACUGGCGAGCUUGAGUGCCGGAGAGGGUCGCGGAAUUCCCGGUGUAGAGGUGAAAUUCGUAGAUAUCGGGAGGAACACCAGUGGCGAAGGCGGCGACCUGGACGGACACUGACGCUGAGACGCGAAAGCGUGGGGAGCAAACAGG